UUAGGAUUCUGCUUGAAAUGAAUUUACUCCUGUUUUGGGAGAGUGUCUUCAUUACAAAGCCCUAAGCCUGGACCUGUGCUGCUUCUCAUUGUCUCAGCAAGGCAGCAGUGGAGCACCCUGCCCCUUCCAAAUGCUGUUGUACUGGUGUGGAAAAGGCAGGGAGCCUUGCACAAUCGCUGUGCACUUGCACUUCUACUAGGCGCAAAGAAGUUUUCCCUUAGGAGCAUCAGGAUCUUAUCUGUGAUAAGCACAGAAUGCUCGAAUUCAUGGAAUGGGGAGAGUCUUCUGUCCUACCUAUGUAUUAAUGCCUACAUCUGCUGGCCACAUGGGUUGAAGUGAAGCUAUUUCACGCUUCUUUUUCAGUUUCAGGGAGACCAGAUGCUCAGUAACAGAGGGGAAGAAGAAAAGGUUCUUACCAUUUCACUCUCAAUUUUAUCAGCGUAUUAAUGCUUGUACUGUUGAAGGCUUCUCUUUCAGCCCUUUGCUGUCAAUGUGUUUAAAACCCAGCAUCUAGUGGUACAAGCCAAUUAAAUCCCAAAUUCACUUGUCAGAGCAUUCCCUCUAUGUGUCUGCCAUGUUUUGGAGCCAAGUUCUUCAGUUUCUUGGUUUUAGUCCAAGAGGAAACAUUAACAAUAAAUAACUAUGAAGAUCAGUGUGCUGGGAAUUAAAACAGUAUCUAUUAAAAGCACUCCAUUAAAAUGAUCUUGAAAUACAUUAUGUGAAAAUUAAAUAAAAGCUGUAAUAUUAAAACUCCAAAGAAA